GAGGCCAGCCCAGAGGCCUCCCUCCCUUCAGGACCUUGUCUAAGCCCAGCUCUUGCUGCUGCAUGUGCUCAGGUUCUCUGUUGAGGGCAAAGACAAGCAGAGAGAAGGAGCGACGUUCCUCCACCUUCUCUCCUCAGAGGGUCACAUUUUCCACUGAACUGGAAAGAAUGUUGGGGCUGAAAGCAAAGUGAAGACACAGAAGGCCGAGCAGAGUGGCAACUGUGAUCUGGAUGAAGAGCUCCCAGCUCCUUCUCCAGCACCAUGUCUGCCUGCACGCUGCCUGCAUGCUUCCCACCAUGAUGAUAAUGGACUAAACCUCUGAGCUGUAAGCCGGCGCCAGGUAAACGCGUUCCUUUAUGAGUGUUGCUGUGGUCAUGGUGUCUCUUCACAGCAAUAGAUACUCUAACUCAGGUAUCUGCUAAAGCCAGAAACGGAUGCUUGCUUCUCACCAGUCCACUCUUAGAGGUGGUCUGCAGCAAGGCUCGGUGUGUGGAGAGGGCCGGCCAUCCAGUGUCCUUGAGGCUCUGAAGGAAACUUGCCCUCCCUCCCUGCUGGGUGUGUCUUUUCAGUCACUGAAAGCGUUGUCCAGGGGCCAUGUUGCCCCCUCCAGGACUGGCACUCUCUUCCCAAGGAAAGACUCUCUCCUCCUGGAGCUUGUCUCUGCAGUUCCUCUCCGGUUUGUGUCUCACCGAGGCUGUCCAUCUGCCUGUCUGUUUUCUUACUCAUUCUUGGGGUGAUGAUUUGUCCUGAGGACUUUCAAGUUUUUUUUUUAAU